UACGGGGGGGGCAAGCGUUGUUCGGAAUUACUGGGCGUAAAGGGCGCGUAGGCGGCCUGCUAAGUCGGACGUGAAAUCCCUCGGCUCAACCGGGGAACUGCGUCCGAUACUGGUGGGCUCGAAUCCGGGAGAGGGAUGUGGAAUUCCAGGUGUAGCGGUGAAAUGCGUAGAUAUCUGGAGGAACACCGGUGGCGAAGGCGGCAUCCUGGACCGAUACUGACGCUGAGGAGCGAAAGCCAGGGGAGCAAACGGG
rnacentral:rRNA from 1 species